rnacentral:rRNA from 1 species
AUUGAACGCUGGCGGCAGGCCUAACACAUGCAAGUCGAGCGAGCGGCGGACGGGUGAGUAAUGUAUGGGGACUGCCCGAUAGAGGGGGAUAACUACUGGAAACGGUGGCUAAUACCGCAUACUAUCGGAUAACCCAUAUGGGAUUAGCUAGUAGGUGGGGUAAAGGCUCACUUAGGCGACGAUCCGUAACUGGUCUGAUAGGAUAAUUCGUCAAAUGGGAACUGAGACACGGUCCGGACUCCGACGGAGGCAGACGGGGGGAAUAUUGGAAAAUGGGCGAAAGCCUGAUGCAGCAAUGCCGCGUGUGUGAAGAAGGUCUUAGGAUUGUAAAGCACUUUAAGUUGGGAGGCGUUACCAACAGAAGAAGCACCGGCUAACUUCGUGCCAGCAGCCGCGGUAAUAC